ACAGGCCAGCCCAGCACUGCAGGGAGACCCGGCUGAGGGGCAGCCCCUCCUCUCUGGGGUCCCUGGCUUUUGUAAAUUUGUCAGCCCAUCCGUGAACUUUGUUUGAACAGAGUUCAGCACUCAGUGGAGGAUUGUUUUGUAUUAUAGCUCACAGCGAAGCACAUCUCUUCUGUAUUUAUUUUAAAUAAAGGCUUUCUAGAAGCCGAAGGGUUUAAGCCACAGGAAAUAAAGAAGGAAAAGUGUUCCUCUGGAGCCUGCCCGGAUAGCAGUUACUCGAAGGCCUCAUGUUCUGCACACCCAGGAGCGGCUGGAGAGGCAAGAGGCCAAGCUGGUCAGCCCUGGAAUUAACUGCAUGAAGUCAAAAGUGCUGACGUACCCGGAGGAAGCUUCCCUGCUGGAGUCUGCCGGGACGACACUGAAUGACUCAGCAAGUGACGGUGCUUGCCACUAUGCCUGAAGACCUGAGUCUGAGAGAACCCCCCCAACCCCAGUUGUGUUCUGACCCCCCAUACUUGAGCUACCUCUGGAAAGCACACUACUCCCUCUUCAAAGAUGAAUGGGUUGUUCCAGGUAGCCCAGGGUGGCUUUGAACUUUGAUCUUCCAGCUUUGGCCUCCGCAUCUCCGCUCCUUGUGUCUGCUCUGAUGAUCUUGUUUAAACGAUGACUGCCAGCAUGAAAUUCUGCGAAAGUGUUUGCUAGACAAACUUUUAACCAUCUAAUACAUGUCCUCCACAUUUCCCAUUCACCCCGUAAUGCUGUCACAAGGACCGCAAUUGAAAGUGAGAGCCUGUGCAUUGUUGACACGGUAGAGAUCAAAGCAUGCAUCUCUGAAAGAUUCCUUGUGGACCCCCAAAUUUGAGCUCGUGCCUUUGGGGUACGCCCUGAAACACCACCAUCCAUGUGAACGUAGAGCACUUCUCCACUGACCAGAGACCAGGCUGGACUCAGGCUGCAGAGACAGCAGCUCUAACUCAAGGUUCUUCCUUGGGGCCAGAAGGCUUGACAUCACUUAGACCUCAGCUGCAUUUGUCAAUGCGCCCCCAACGUCUGUUAAUUUCUCAGUUCCUUUAUGUUUAUCUGCUUUAGCACAUUUCCUCAAAUUUUCUACCUUGCUUUUGGCAGGUUGUGAGUGAGAUUUUAUUUUAAAAGAAGUUGUUCGUAAGUCUUCCAUAAACUGUUAAGAAUUCUAUACCAGAGAGGGUUUGACUCAAAGCAGCCCUCUCCUUGGCUCUGUGUAGACGACGCAGGCCUGCUGGUACCACAGGGUAGGAAGAGGAGCUGCUGGAUUCCUGCUGCUGCUUACAAGGCUUGCAAACACUGAGUCAGCCAGAGGGGAAUCCAUCAUUGUGGGUCACAGAAAAAUUCCUGAGGUCUGUUUUUAGUGAAG